rnacentral:rRNA from 1 species
CAUAGGUUAAUGAGGCGAACCGGGGGAACUGAAACAUCUAAGUACCCCGAGGAAAAGAAAUCAACCGAGAUUCCCCCAGUAGCGGCGAGCGAACGGGGAGGAGCCCAGAGCCUGAAUCAGUGUGUGUGUUAGUGGAAGCGUCUGGAAAGGCGCGCGAUACAGGGUGACAGCCCCGUACACAAAAAUGCACAUGCUGUGAGCUCGAUGAGUAGGGCGGGACACGUGGUAUCCUGUCUGAAUAUGGGGGGACCAUCCUCCAAGGCUAAAUACUCCUGACUGACCGAUAGUGAACCAGUACCGUGAGGGAAAGGCGAAAAGAACCCCGGCGAGGGGAGUGAAAAAGAACCUGAAACCGUGUACGUACAAGCAGUGGGAGCCUCUUAAUGGGGUGACUGCGUACCUUUUGUAUAAUGGGUCAGCGACUUAUAUUCUGUAGCAAGGUUAACCGAAUAGGGGAGCCGAAGGGAAACCGAGUCUUAACUGGGCGUUAAGUUGCAGGGUAUAGACCCGAAACCCGGUGAUCUAGCCAUGGGCAGGUUGAAGGUUGGGUAACACUAACUGGAGGACCGAACCGACUAAUGUUGAAAAAUUAGCGGAUGACUUGUGGCUGGGGGUGAAAGGCCAAUCAAACCGGGAGAUAGCUGGUUCUCCCCGAAAGCUAUUUAGGUAGCGCCUCGUGAAUUCAUCUCCGGGGGUAGAGCACUGUUUCGGCAAGGGGGUCAUCCCGACUUACCAACCCGAUGCAAACUGCGAAUACCGGAGAAUGUUAUCACGGGAGACACACGGCGGGUGCUAACGUCCGUCGUGAAGAGGGAAACAACCCAGACCGCCAGCUAAGGUCCCAAAGUCAUGGUUAAGUGGGAAACGAUGUGGGAAGGCCCAGACAGCCAGGAUGUUGGCUUAGAAGCAGCCAUCAUUUAAAGAAAGCGUAAUAGCUCACUGGUCGAGUCGGCCUGCGCGGAAGAUGUAACGGGGCUAAACCAUGCACCGAAGCUGCGGCAGCGACACUAUGUGUUGUUGGGUAGGGGAGCGUUCUGUAAGCCUGUGAAGGUGGCCUGUGAGGGUUGCUGGAGGUAUCAGAAGUGCGAAUGCUGACAUAAGUAACGAUAAAGCGGGUGAAAAGCCCGCUCGCCGGAAGACCAAGGGUUCCUGUCCAACGUUAAUCGGGGCAGGGUGAGUCGACCCCUAAGGCGAGGCCGAAAGGCGUAGUCGAUGGGAAACAGGUUAAUAUUCCUGUACUUGGUGUUACUGCGAAGGGGGGACGGAGAAGGCUAUGUUGGCCGGGCGACGGUUGUCCCGGUUUAAGCGUGUAGGCUGGUUUUCCAGGCAAAUCCGGAAAACCAAGGCUGAGGCGUGAUGACGAGGCACUACGGUGCUGAAGUGACAAAUGCCCUGCUUCCAGGAAAAGCCUCUAAGCAUCAGGUAACAUCAAAUCGUACCCCAAACCGACACAGGUGGUCAGGUAGAGAAUACCAAGGCGCUUGAGAGAACUCGGGUGAAGGAACUAGGCAAAAUGGUGCCGUAACUUCGGGAGAAGGCACGCUGAUAUGUAGGUGAAGCGACUUGCUCGUGGAGCUGAAAUCAGUCGAAGAUACCAGCUGGCUGCAACUGUUUAUUAAAAACACAGCACUGUGCAAACACGAAAGUGGACGUAUACGGUGUGACGCCUGCCCGGUGCCGGAAGGUUAAUUGAUGGGGUUAGCGGUAACGCGAAGCUCUUGAUCGAAGCCCCGGUAAACGGCGGCCGUAACUAUAACGGUCCUAAGGUAGCGAAAUUCCUUGUCGGGUAAGUUCCGACCUGCACGAAUGGCGUAAUGAUGGCCAGGCUGUCUCCACCCGAGACUCAGUGAAAUUGAACUCGCUGUGAAGAUGCAGUGUACCCGCGGCAAGACGGAAAGACCCCGUGAACCUUUACUAUAGCUUGACACUGAACAUUGAGCCUUGAUGUGUAGGAUAGGUGGGAGGCUUUGAAGUGUGGACGCCAGUCUGCAUGGAGCCGACCUUGAAAUACCACCCUUUAAUGUUUGAUGUUCUAACGUUGGCCCCUAAUCGGGGUUGCGGACAGUGUCUGGUGGGUAGUUUGACUGGGGCGGUCUCCUCCUAAAGAGUAACGGAGGAGCACGAAGGUUGGCUAAUCCUGGUCGGACAUCAGGAGGUUAGUGCAAUGGCAUAAGCCAGCUUGACUGCGAGCGUGACGGCGCGAGCAGGUGCGAAAGCAGGUCAUAGUGAUCCGGUGGUUCUGAAUGGAAGGGCCAUCGCUCAACGGAUAAAAGGUACUCCGGGGAUAACAGGCUGAUACCGCCCAAGAGUUCAUAUCGACGGCGGUGUUUGGCACCUCGAUGUCGGCUCAUCACAUCCUGGGGCUGAAGUAGGUCCCAAGGGUAUGGCUGUUCGCCAUUUAAAGUGGUACGCGAGCUGGGUUUAGAACGUCGUGAGACAGUUCGGUCCCUAUCUGCCGUGGGCGCUGGAGAACUGAGGGGGGCUGCUCCUAGUACGAGAGGACCGGAGUGGACGCAUCACUGGUGUUCGGGUUGUCAUGCCAA